UGUUCUGUUAUUUUCUUUUUGGGGUCUGUCUUGCAGACUUAUACCCAGAGAGAACUUGCUGCAAGACAGACCCCAAAAAGAAAAUAACAGAACA